GACGAACGCUGGCGGCGUGCCUAAUACAUGCAAGUCGAACGGUCUUUUCUAUGGAAGCUUGCUUCCACUGAGAAGAUAGUGGCGAACGGGUGAGUAACACGUGGGUAACCUGCCCAUGAGAGGGGGAUAACAUCCGGAAACGGGUGCUAAUACCGCAUAGUUUUCUUGAUCGCAUGAUUGAGAAAGGAAAGACGGCCUUUGUGCUGUCGCUUAUGGAUGGACCCGCGGCGUAUUAGUUAGUUGGUGAGGUAACGGCUCACCAAGACGAUGAUACGUAGCCGACCUGAGAGGGUGAUCGGCCACAUUGGGACUGAGACACGGCCCAAACUCCUACGGGAGGCAGCAGUAGGGAAUCUUCCGCAAUGGACGAAAGUCUGACGGAGCAACGCCGCGUGAGUGUAGAAGGUUUUCGGAUCGUAAAACUCUGUUGUCAGAGAAGAACAAGUUGGAGAGUAACUGCUCCAGCCUUGACGGUAUCUGACCAGAAAGCCACGGCUAACUACGUGCCAGCAGCCGCGGUAAGAC
rnacentral:rRNA from 1 species